rnacentral:rRNA from 1 species
AGGAAUGCAUGGGUAACCUGUCCUUGAGAAGGGAAUAACCCGCCGAAAGGUGAGCUAAUACCCUAUACGCUUCGCUUUUUUUUGAAAAGUGAAGGAAAGUCAAGCCGUGGGCUUGGCGCUCUCGGAGGGGCUCAUGUCCUAUCAGCUUGUUGGUGGGGUAACGGCCUACCAAGGCUACGACGGGUAGCUGGUCUGAGAGGAUGAUCAGCCACACUGGCACUGAGAUACGGGCCAG